rnacentral:rRNA from 1 species
GCAAGUAGAACGCUGAAGCUUGGUGCUUGCACCGAGCGGAUGAGUUGCGAACGGGUGAGUAACGCGUAGGUAACCUGCCUGGUAGCGGGGGAUAACUAUUGGAAACGAUAGCUAAUACCGCAUGAUAUUGAUUAUUGCAUGAUAGUCAAUUAAAAGGUGCAAUUGCAUCACUACCAGAUGGACCUGCGUUGUAUUAGCUAGUUGGUGAGGUAACGGCUCACCAAGGCAACGAUACAUAGCCGACCUGAGAGGGUGAUCGGCCACACUGGGACUGAGACACGGCCCAGACUCCUACGGGAGGCAGCAGUAGGGAAUCUUCGGCAAUGGACGGAAGUCUGACCGAGCAACGCCGCGUGAGUGAAGAAGGUUUUCGGAUCGUAAAGCUCUGUUGUAAGAGAAGAACGAGUGUGAGAGUGGAAAGUUCACACUGUGACGGUAUCUUACCAGAAAGGGACGGCUAACUACGUGCCAGCAGCCGCGGUAAUACGUAGGUCCCGAGCGUUGUCCGGAUUUAUUGGGCGUAAAGCGAGCGCAGGCGGUUAGAUAAGUCUGAAGUUAAAGGCUGUGGCUUAACCAUAGUACGCUUUGGAGACUGUUUAACUUGAGUGCAAGAGGGGAGAGUGGAAUUCCAUGUGUAGCGGUGAAAUGCGUAGAUAUAUGGAGGAACACCGGUGGCGAAAGCGGCUCUCUGGCUUGUAACUGACGCUGA